ACGGGAGGCAGCAGUUAAGAAUAUUCCGCAAUGGACGAAAGUCUGACGGAGCGACGCCGCGUGGAUGAUGAAGGUCGGAAGAUUGUAAAAUCCUUUUAUCACUGAGGAAUAAGUAUUUUGAUAGAAACGCAGUAUGGUUACUGUAGGUUAUGAAUAAGCAACGGCUAAUUACGUGCCAGCAGCCGCGGUAACACGUAAGUUGCGAGCGUUGUUCGGAAUUAUUGGGCGUAAAGGGCAUGUAGGCGGUUUUGCAAGAUUGAUGUGAAAGGCAGGAGCUUAACUCCUGUACUGCGUUGAGAACUGCAUAACUAGAGUCACUGAGAGGCAAGCAGAAUGCCAAGUGUAGGGGUGAAAUCUGUAGAUAUCUGGAAGAAUACCAAUGGCAAAGGCAGGUUACCAGCAGAUGACUGACGCUGAGGUGCGAAAGUGCGGGGAGCAAACAGGAUUAGAUACCCUGGUA
rnacentral:rRNA from 1 species